GACGAACGCUGGCGGCGUGCUUAACACAUGCAAGUCGAACGGAAAGGCCCUGCUUGCAGGGUACUCGAGUGGCGAACGGGUGAGUAACACGUGGGUGAUCUGCCCUGCACUUCGGGAUAAGCCUGGUCAACUGGGUCUAAUUCCGGACAGGAGCCAUUUUUAGUGUGAUGGUUGGAAAGUUUUUUCGGUGUUGGAUGAGCCCGCGGGCUAUCAGCUUGCUGGUGGGGUAAUGGCCUACCAAGGCGGCGACGGGUAGCCGGCCUGCGAGGGUGGACGGCCACAUUGGGACUGCGAUACGGCCCAGACGCCUACGGGAGGCAGCAGUGGGGAAUAUUGCACAAUGGGCGCAAGCCUGAUUCAGCGACGCCGCGUGGGGGAUGACGGCCUUCGGGUUGUAAACUCCUUUCGCUAGGGACGAAGCUUUUUGUGACGGUACCUAGAUAAGAAGCACCGGCUAACUACGU
rnacentral:rRNA from 1 species